AUUGAACGCUGGCGGCAGGCCUAACACAUGCAAGUCGAGCGGAUGAAGGGAGCUUGCUCCUGGAUUCAGCGGCGGACGGGUGAGUAAUGCCUAGGAAUCUGCCUGGUAGUGGGGGAUAACGUCCGGAAACGGGCGCUAAUACCGCAUACGUCCUGAGGGAGAAAGUUGGGGAUCUUCGGACCUCACGCUAUCAGAUGAGCCUAGGUCGGAUUAGCUAGUUGGUGGGGUAAAGGCCUACCAAGGCGACGAUCCGUAACUGGUCUGAGAGGAUGAUCAGUCACACUGGAACUGAGACACGGUCCAGACUCCUACGGGAGGCAGCAGUGGGGAAUAUUGGACAAUGGGCGAAAGCCUGAUCCAGCCAGGCCGCGUGUGUGAAGAAGGUCUUCGGAUUGUAAAGCACUUUAAGUUGGGAGGAAGGGCAGUAAGUUAAUACCUUGCUGUUUUGACGUUACCAACAGAAUAAGCACCGGCUAACUUCGUG
rnacentral:rRNA from 1 species